rnacentral:rRNA from 1 species
ACGGCUCAGUAACACGUGGACAACCUACCCUUAGGCCUGGGAUAACCCCGGGAAACUGGGAAUAAUACCGGAUAUCUCGCGAAUGCUGGAAUGCGUCGCGAUAGAAAGCUCCGGCGCCUAAGGAUGGGUCUGCGGCCUAUCAGGGUAGUAGUGGGUGUAAUGUACCUACUAGCCUACGACGGGUACGGGUUGUGAGAGCAAGAGCCCGGAGAUGGAUUCUGAGACACGAAUCCAGGCCCUACGGGGUGCAGCAGGCGCGAAAACUUUACAAUGCUGGCAACAGCGAUAAGGGGACCUCGAGUGCCAGGAUACAAUCCUGGCUGUCGUAAUGCCUAAAAAGCAUUGCAUAGCAAGGGCCGGGCAAGACCGGUGCCAGCCGCCGCGGUAACACCGGCGGCUCGAGUGGUAACCGCUAUUAUUGGGUCUAAAGGGUCUGUAGCCGGCUGACUAAGUCUCUUGGGAAAUCUGGCAGCUCAACUGUCAGGCUUUCAGGAGAUAUUGAUCGGCUCGAGACCGGGAGAGGUGAGAGGUACCUCAGGGGUAGGGGUGAAAUCUUGUAAUCCUUGAGGGACCACCAGUGGCGAAGGCGUCUCACCAGAACGGAUCUGACGGCAAGGGACGAAAGCUAGGGGCACGAACCGGAUUAGAUACCCGGGUAGUCCUAGCCGUAAACGAUACUCGCUAGGUGUCGGCCACGGUGCGACCGUGGUCGGUGCCGUAGGGAAGCCGUGAAGCGAGCCACCUGGGAAGUACGGCCGCAAGGCUGAAACUUAAAGGAAUUGGCGGGGGAGCAC